GGGGGGGGGGGGCGUCCUAAGGAGAAGGAAGCUGGGGGCCCAGACUCCCGGCGUCUGCGGGAGGAGGGGCUGGGGGUCUGGACUCCCGUGUCCGCGGGGAGGAGGGGGCUGCGGACCCGGACUCCCGAGUUUGAAGGGAGGGAGGUGGAGGCUGGCGCCUGGCCUCCUGGGACUGAGGCGGGCUGAGGGCUGAGCGAGCCAGGCCGGGCUUCCGAGGUCUCGGCACGCGUGUGGAAGGCGGGAUCCCCCGGCCCCUCCUCCGCCGUCGGGCGCCGCCCCGCCCCCGCCCCCGACCCGGGCCCUCCGGAGCGUGUGCAGCGAGGAGCCGGCGGGCGAGCAGGCGUCCCUACAGCCAGCGAGCAGGAGGAGGAGCCGCCGCCGCGCCGGAGACGGCCGGGGGAGCCGAGGAGGGCGCCCCAGGUGGUUGCCCCCUCCCUCUCCUGAGAUGUCAGGAAGGAGGGGGUCACCUGUGUCCCCAGCAGGGGCCCCCCGGAGCCUGGGGGCCCCCAGCCCCGGAGCUCGGAGGUGGAGGAGGUGCUGACAGGUCCAGUAACCACCCACUGCUUCUCAGUCCUUUCCCAGAACCCACGGGCUUCCAGAAUGUUCUAGAGAAACUGCAGCAUCUAUGCCCCCACCAGCAUCUCCCAGCCCUGGCCAAUUUCAUGGAUAGGGAAACCGAAGCCUCACCUGGGAGGAAGUGUCUUACCUUCUUACAGGCAGUUUUAAGCUGAACUUGGGUCUCUCUGGAACUACAGGGCAUGACCAUUCUCAGAAAUUUUGGAGCUUCAAACCUCAUCCAGGCUGCAGGACUUAGGGUUCCUUGGGGUUGUAGAGGCAAAAUGGCAGAGUGGAGUUGCUGGGACAUGUUUUGAGUCCCACCUCUGGCAUUUGCUGGCUGUGUGACCUGGUUCAAGUUACUAGCCUCUCUGAGCUUGUAUUUCCCCCUUUAUUGGCUAUUAUUAAUACUAAUAGUAGAAUAAGUAUGAUUAAUCUAGAGGCUGGGCAUUAUCAAAGUCCUAAAAUAUAGGGGUCCUCCAAGCUUCUAGAACCUGUGGUUCUAUCAUGCAGAUGCCCCUGGAGUAGCCAUGUGUCCCCCCACGAAGUUAUCAUCCUCCUAAUUCCAGCUUCCCUCUGUCU
rnacentral:lncRNA from 1 species